UCCGAACCGAGUGAAGCCAGCGCUUCACCGGCCUUCACGAAUCCUUCUGAUAUCUCCGAUUUCAACUGAUGUCUAAUUACUGGAUUUGCUUGUUUACUGACAUCAUGACUCCAACACCCCGGUUUUUUCGCGAGUUAUGGUCGGGUGCGCGGGAAGUCAACUACGGCAACACAGUCCUGGUGUAUCGCGAUGACGGCCAAUGGUGGUUAGGAUACGUCCAGGACGUCAAGGAGCAGAACUUCCUCGUGGACUAUGACGCCAGUACAGCAUCUUCCGACUGGAUCCAUUCCAGCCGUCUCUGGCCGCACCAUGCCCCACCGGAGCUCUUCGUCGGCGCUGUCGUGCAGGUGACGCUGCGGGAGCGCCACGGGGGCCCGCUGGUGUUCCGUCCCGUCACGGCCGUUGCGCAGUGGGAAGGCAGAUUCCUGGCUGUCUGUCUGGACGCGCAGCACCCGACGGACUGCCUCUUCGUGCAUCCCACUCGGUUUGUGGACGUCCUGCCAGUCCCCGGGGAUGGACAGAGCUUUUCCGCGCGCACCGACGGCCUGACGUUCACGAAACACGCCGUCCCUUUCCCGGAGGCGGUUGGGAUCCGCAGCGUCGAUCGUCUGCCCGCGCUUUUGCAGCAGACCUGCCGGUUCACUUUGGCGGACGGGGAACAGUUGAGGGGUAAUCGGGUCAUUGCGGUGUCCCGGGGGCUCCGAGCCUUUCUACUCCAUGCCACCGCGCCAGGCGAUAGCUGAGAUGGUCUGGCAUGGUGGGGUGUACGAGGGCGUAAGCGGGUUUGUGCGCGUGGGAGUCGACACGGUAACGGUGGCUUGUCUGGAGGUGCACAACGAGGCCGGCGGGCGUUGAAUGGCGUGGGAUGAGGAGGCUGUCAACGAGGCCUGCAACGCGUAUCUCCACAAUCAUCCAGCGGAUGCCGUCGGCGCGGUUCCCCGGGAGCAGGAAUACGGUUCCUCCGGUAAUUACUCGGUACAGGUGGACGACAUGUCGAUAGACGAGCUCCCGCAUCCGAUCUUGGCGGGCAUCUUCACCAGUGUGGAUGCGGAUAGUCUGCUGCGAUUCUCUUGGGUUUGCGCGUUAUGGCAUGAUGUGGUGCAGAAGUACCAGGAUAAGCGUCUCGUCAUCUUGCAUGGACAGUGCGCAGAUUUGGCCGAAAGCGCCCUAUAUCCAGGAAUGCGCCAUUGAGCUUCCUUACCGCUACUACAAAUUGGUAACCACGCUGGACCGCACUAUCACAACGGAAACGAUCACGCUGCGCUGAUAGACCACCGCGACGCCAAUGUGUUUGCGGUGGAUCUCACCGACAUGCUGGAGGCCGUCAAGGCGGUACUGGCAGCCAAGGGAAUGUGCCUAUCGUCCAUCGUAGUACGAUUACGGUGUCGUUGGUGUGGUGUCAUGGGAGACACUGCUGGUCAUCGAUGUCUUGUCUGAUGAAGAGGAUGCCGUGGAUAUCAGCGACGACGCAUAUACAUCCUGCUCCACGUGACCGACGUGCUGAGCGUAUGCGACGAGCUGGUCCUGCUUAAUUUCCAGCCGUCGCUCUCCAUCACCACAUCCGCAUUGAACAUGUUCGAGGUCGCCGGCAUGAAGCCAGCAGAGCCACUGGAGACCCGCAGGCGCGCUGAUCACGACAUCGUGACCCCGGGUGCGAUUGAUCUGGGUGUGAGGAUUCCGUUUCUGCGGUUUCGCGCUGGAGAAGCCGCCACGGAACAGCGCCGACGCUUUCUGGCCGCGGCCAAUGACAACUGUCCGGCCGUUAGUGAAGUUGUGCGGCAGAAGGUCACUGCUUUGUUUGCGCGAUGGACGGAGAAACUGGAUGAGUGCGGAUGGACCGGGGUGCGCCGAUUCGUCAAGCUGUUCAACAGUCUUGGACCCGAUGAUAAUCCGCAACGAUGGGACACCAUGGAUUUCCGCCAGUUGGACGUUUCCAGGUUGAAUAACUUGACCUUCGCAGCACUGCAUGGAUGCUUUAGAAACGAAAGCGAAGAAGACAGCUACCCGUAUGGUC